UACGUAGGGUGCAAGCGUUAAUCGGAAUUACUGGGCGUAAGCGCGCGUAGGUGGUUCGUUAAUGAUCUGAUGUGAAAGCCCUGGGCUCAACCUGGGAACUGCAUUGGAUACUGGCUUACUAGAGUGCGGUAGAGGGGUGUGGAAUUCCCGGUGUAGCAGUGAAAUGCGUAGAUAUCGGGAGGAACAUCUGUGGCGAAGGCGGGUCUCUGGGCCGAUACUGACGCUGAGGAGGCGAAAGCAUGGGGAGCGAACAGG
rnacentral:rRNA from 1 species